GCAAUUGUUUGGGAGUAGCACUACCCACCCAGAACUACACCACUGAAGGAUCGGAAGGAAAUAUUUCACCCUGUUUUAUAACCACACAUCAAAUGUAGCACACACCACACAUCUCUUUAGCAAAGAGGGGUAAAGAGGGUAAAGAGAGCGAAGAUCAAUGCUUCUCGUUAUUACGCAAUUGUAAAUAGGACAUUAGGAUUAGAUAGGAAUAGUCAGUAGGAGUUUAGUCUCUGCUCCACCAGGAUGUAGAUAUUUUAAUGUGUUGAAUAUGAAUGUCCGUUGUAAAUAUAUGUAUCGUGUUUGAUUAAUAAAUGUGUUUAAGUACGGUCGUGUAGUUAGUCGUCGUAUAAUCGUAAUGCAGAUAGUUAUGGUCGGAUUCUUGGAGGAAGAAUGGAUUUGCAUCACCCUAUAGGUUCAACCCACCAGGUUUGCCAGAACCUUCAUCCGUUCGUGUUGGGGGAUAGAAAUCCUCAUUACAGUCCACGCAAGGAACCAUAAGCCCAACUACUCUUCCCCAACAUAUGGUCCUUCGAGCCGGAUGGAGAACCAGGUUUGGACAAUCCAAUCGGAACCUACGGAAACAGCAAUGGAAGGAUACUGGACAAAAAAGUGAAGCUUUCGCCAGGUCUUUGUUUCCAUUAACAAUGCAAUUAUGUCGAAAUUUGCAAUGGCCAUCGAAGUUUUACGCUGAAAUCUUCUGGAACGCUAAAAGGAUAGCACAAUGGGCAGCCAUCUUCCUCUGAAUGAUGGUCAAUCCGAACCACAGAUCCAAAUUAGAUGUCAUUUUGGUAUCAUAAUUACCUCGGGAUAGGAAUACUGAACCAGCAUCGCAUACUGUUUAUCCAGGUAAAUAUGCACAUGUUCAGUAUAUGUCUUGCCGAAGUAGAAUUUCAUUGGCACUAACUCUUCCGUUGUCUCUACGCAUUGCACAAUCUGGCACAACACCCCGAGCUGGGUACACCACUAGGAAACUUUCGGUUCUGCAAACUUCACUUAUGGAUUUGGUCAUCAUAUUGGGAGCAUUGUAUAGUUGCAACGCUCAUGGAAACAUUCACCAAUUCACAUCGACCCUACUACGAAUUGAGCUUCAAUGAAAGAGCAUCAUCGUCACGAUCACAAACACCGAGUCGGUGUGAUACACUCCACUUCAGCAGUUUCAACAGACUUCAUCGGUAAUUCAUCACUGGCAGUGUUCACAUCUCGGUACUCGUCAAGUCGACAACUUCUCGGGAUGAUAACAUACACAUCGAGCAAUCGGAAUAUCAGGCAACAUUACCGGCGAAUGCGCCUUUCCCAAAGGUAAGCAGAUUUACAUCGUAUAUGCCUAGUGAAGCUAGGACUAUCUAGCAGAGUACUACAUACGCACUUCUUCUUCUUCAAACUCAACACUCACCACGGAAUCGAUCACCUCGGAGGCUUUGCCAACAAAAACAAUCAGUUCGCUUCAUUUCACUUCGGAUGAAUUCCAUCACAUGCUCACGACGACUGCUGGGACUAGUUUAUCUCCAAGGCUUCAUCUACAAACAUCGACACAUUGCACGGUUUUCCACAAACGGUUUUCGGGCAAAUGUGAUUUCCAAAUCAACAUUCCAAGGAUUACGAGUACAAGGGGUGCUCGUUCCAAUAAGGUUUCCAGACACGCGGCGUAUCUGGCUCCCAUUACCACAAUUACGAGUGCAAAGGGUGCUCGUUACAAAACCUUCGGACACACAGGGUGUUCGAACACACUUCCCAGGAUUACAAGGGCACACGGAGUGUCUGUAUCCCACGACUAUGGAUUAUGAGUACAAAGGGUGCUUGUUCAACGGUCCUUGGACACAUACGGUGUCCAACCACAACUUCCAAGGUUAACGGUCACAAAGGGUGAUCAACCAAUACACCACCAAACAAACGGUUCACAGGAUUACGAGUACACGGGUACUCGUGUCACGGUUUUGACACACUGGGUGUCUACACUCAACUUUAAAGGGCUAGGAGUGCACAGGGUACUCGCUACGUGGUUACGACAACGAGAUGUCGAAUGUCAACUCCCAAUAAUGGAAUACGAGCACACUGGGUGUUCGAAUAGGAUUUAAUACGACUGGAAUGGCCAAGUUACAACAACGAAUAUCGGGCACGACGAACAAACACGGGGAGUGCGUUUAUUGUGGACAGCGGUAUGACACAACAGCAAUUCUAUCCAAGCACCAACACCAACGGCAAGGGUUUCGGCGGAGAUGCAAUACAUAUUUGGUCAGGUUAGUGAUAUGGCAGUAUAUGUCUGCCGAAGCUGGACUCUCUUUUGGUAUACUACACACCAUCUCUCACUUGUCAGUAUAUGCGACGGAGUUCGACGGAGGCAAUCGGCACUGCUACCGUCUGUGGAAAACGGGGGAAAGCCUAAAAACAGCGAGCAGUAACAGGUACAACAUUGCUGCCACGCGCGACUCCACAUCCAAUACCGAACGGUGGAUUGUUUCGUAGCUCAAAUCUCAUCUCUAGCGAUUGUGCAUCAGUACAAGCUAUACUGAUACGUACAUCAGUUAUAUACCAGCAUGUGUGAAACAAUUCGGUAGGCUUGGUUCGGAUCACAGAGACGCAGUCGGGUUAGGAGCGCAGAGAAAUUGAUCAUCUCCAGCGUAGAAAUGGUAAACACUAGGUGGUACAAUAGUAUAGGUAGCUGAGGUAGCUUUAACCGAGAGAAAGAUAGGUAGAUGUGUAGCUCCGUAACUCAGCACAAACAAUUCAUUAACUUAUUUGAUCGAGCGAAUGUAAACAAACUCAGUAGUGGCUGAUUUUGAACGGAAAAAUUGAUCACCAUUGGAAGGCGCGCAAUUAGUUCCACGAGUAAUGGGUUUUAAGCAAUCGUAUAUAGGACCGGAUCAUUUUGCAGCACUGGGCUGUAAGCUUUCAAUGCGUCCAAACCGGAUUCAAAACUUCGAAAGUAGGUAGCAGGGUUACCAUGACGUCCGGAUUGAUAUGCUACAUGGUAUUCAAAAAUUGUCAAUCAAGGCUUAUCAGACUAAUACAGAACAAUUGCUCGAAUGGUUUACCCAACUUUGGAACGGUUUCGAAAUCAAAUUAACACCGUUAUUUGAAGGCAGGCUUCCAAUGGAGGUACGUUAGUUUAGAAGCAUAGCAGCUUGGUAUCCAGUAUUCCACGGUGGGUGAGGGCAAUUAAGGUAUGAAUUCAGAAAUUGAAACAAUUUCUGGGUGGGUGAGGAUGUUUGGGAGUAGCACUACCCACCCAGAACUACACCACUGAAGGAUCGGAAGGAAAUAUUUCACCCUGUUUUAUAACCACACAUCAAAUGUAGCACACACCACACAUCUCUUUAGCAAAGAGGGGUAAAGAGGGUAAAGAGAGCGAAGAUCAAUGCUUCUCGUUAUUACGCAAUUGUAAAUAGGACAUUAGGAUUAGAUAGGAAUAGUCAGUAGGAGUUUAGUCUCUGCUCCACCAGGAUGUAGAUAUUUUAAUGUGUUGAAUAUGAAUGUCCGUUGUAAAUAUAUGUAUCGUGUUUGAUUAAUAAAUGUGUUUAAGUACGGUCGUGUA